rnacentral:tRNA from 1 species
GGUCCCGUAGUGUAGCGGUUAUCACGUCGACCUGUCACGGCGAAGAUCGCGGGUUCGAUUCCCGUCGGGACCG